GCCUUAGUGGUGUAGUGGUCAGCACGCUCGGCGCGUAUUCGAGAGGUCCGGGGUUCGAGCCCCGGCGAAGGUA
rnacentral:tRNA from 1 species